GACGAACGCUGGCGGCGUGCUUAACACAUGCAAGUCGAACGGAAAGGCCCUGCUUUUGUGGGGUGCUCGAGUGGCGAACGGGUGAGUAACACGUGAGUAACCUGCCCUUGACUUUGGGAUAACUUCAGGAAACUGGGGCUAAUACCGGAUAGGAGCUCCUGCUGCAUGGUGGGGGUUGGAAAGUUUCGGCGGUUUGGGAUGGACUCGCGGCUUAUCAGCUUGUUGGUGGGGUAGUGGCUUACCAAGGCUUUGACGGGUAGCCGGCCUGAGAGGGUGACCGGCCACAUUGGGACUGAGAUACGGCCCAGACUCCUACGGGAGGCAGCAGUGGGGAAUAUUACACAAUGGGCGGAAGCCUGAUGCAGCAACGCCGCGUGCGGGAUGACGGCCUUCGGGUUGUAAACCGCUUUCGCCUGUGACGAAGCGUGAGUGACGGUAAUGGGUAAAGAAGCACCGGCUAACUACGUG
rnacentral:rRNA from 1 species